CCAGUGACUCAUUUCACUUUAACAGCGACACUUUGGAUUAGUUUGGAUCACUGUGUCUGAGUCUAGGGUCUUUAUCUGUGACAUCUAGAAUGAGUCCUAUAAAGAAUAAACAUCUCUUGGUUUUGCAUCAUGUUGUUGUCGUCCUCCUUUUUCUAACACAAACUUGUGGUGGUCAGCAUCAGAUGAUUGGUCCAACUCAGCCAGUAGUGGCCAUGAUUGGUGAUGACAUCAUUUUGCCAUGCCACCUGGAACCUGCUGUGGAUGCUGUUGACCUGACUGUGGAUUGGUCCAGAACUGACCUCAAACCUAGAUCUGUCUAUGUGAGGCGAGAGGGUGUGGAGCUUCUGACUGA